UACGUAGGGGGCGAGCGUUGUCCGGAGUUACUGGGCGUAAAGGGCGUGCAGGCGGUGCAGUAAGUUUAGCGUGACAGUCUCCGGCUUAACUGGAGAAGGCCGCUGAAAACUGCUGGACUUGAGGGCCAGAGAGGGACAUAGAAUUCCGGGUGGAGUGGUGAAAUGCGUAGAUAUCCGGAGGAAUACCAAAGGCGAAGGCAGUGUCCUGGCUGGCAACUGACGCUGAGGCGCGAAAGCUAGGGGAGCGAACAGG
rnacentral:rRNA from 1 species